rnacentral:rRNA from 1 species
AUUGAACGCUGGCGGCAGGCUUAACACAUGCAAGUCGAGCGGGGGAGGUUGCUUCGGUAACUGACCUAGCGGCGGACGGGUGAGUAAUGCUUAGGAAUCUGCCUAUUAGUGGGGGACAACAUUCCGAAAGGGAUGCUAAUACCGCAUACGCCCUACGGGGGAAAGCAGGGGAUCUUCGGACCUUGCGCUAAUAGAUGAGCCUAAGUCGGAUUAGCUAGUUGGUGGGGUAAAGGCCUACCAAGGCGACGAUCUGUAGCGGGUCUGAGAGGAUGAUCCGCCACACUGGGACUGAGACACGGCCCAGACUCCUACGGGAGGCAGCAGUGGGGAAUAUUGGACAAUGGGCGAAAGCCUGAUCCAGCCAUGCCGCGUGUGUGAAGAAGGCCUUUUGGUUGUAAAGCACUUUAAGCGAGGAGGAGGCUCUUAAGGUUAAUACCCUUAAUGAGUGGACGUUACUCGCAGAAUAAGCACCGGCUAACUCUGUGCCAGCCGCCGCGGUAAAAC